CUAGCGGCAUUGCAAGUGCUCAACAGGCAUGUAGGGCUGGGGGCCGUGCUGCUGGACGACACAGACAGAGAACAUUUCCAUCAUUACAGAAGCUUCUCCUGAACGGCACUGGUCUACGGACUCGGAGGCUGCGGGGUCUGGUGUUUUUUCUAGAUGAUCUUCAUGCAUUCUGAUAUUUGCUGAGAACCCACGACAUACCAGGCCCCGUAACAGGCAAUGGAGAUAAUUUGAUGGUGUCCAAGCAUGCCGCUGGCCACUGGACCCCUAGGGAUCCAGGACCACUGGAUCCCUAAACAGUCUAUGGAUGUGACAGGACUUGAAUCUUGACAGGGUUUCUCUGUCACCCUCUGGAACACAUGAGUCUUACCAAGGUCUCCGGUGUGCCAGCCACCUCUUGCUCAUCUGGCCCUAUCAGCAUCAUAGCAUCAAGGCAAGUUCCAUCCCCACCAAGAAGGCAGCAAAGCUGAGCUCUUAUCUGAAGGAUGAGCAAAGGUUUGCCGGGCUGGUGGGUGGACGGCAUUCCAGCAUUUCAGAGCCGUGGAGGGGCCUCUGAGUCUUGCUCCACCUAAGCUCCCGUGAUCUUUAAAUUCAAUGCAUGACUGUUCUAGCCCAUUGAACGCCUUCUCCCCGCAACCCAUUCCUUCUUGUGACAAUCCCCACCAGAAGAGCUAAAAGCUCUACCCAUUUUCUGUUCAUUCUUGAUGAAUCUUGGAUCCCUGCCAGAGGGAAAGCUGCACUGUUGGCCGAACGUGUGCCAAGCAUGACAGAGGGCAGGCCACGGACCAGCUGGAGCAUCUACACCAGGGCCAUGUUGAGAAACGCUGGUGCCACUUCAGCACAAAACACUAAAAGUAAUCAAAACUUUGGAAUUAUCACAAUGUUCUGAAGCUGCACCUGUAUUAUUAAGAAGAGUGAUUUAGAAAGAGAAAUAUCUAGAAUCGAAAAACAAUUCCUCCACUCUGGAUAAUCUUGAGCACAGCAGCUUUGUCUUACACAUUUAUUUAUCUUUCAUGGUUUACACAGGAUGUGGCACAUGCAUAAGUAUUUGUUAAAGGAAAGGACAGUGGAAUGAAUGCAUAAAGCCAUGAAAGCAUGAAAUGAAAUGAAUUCUCCUUCCUCCAAAGUAAUUUCAAAGGGGCAUUUAUAGCUGGAUAGUGAAGGAAGGAGCUGUAGAGAUCUCUGAAUCCAGCUCUUCCCUUUGACACAGAGGAGUCAAUGGUCAACAAGGUUCAGAAGUUCGCCCAAAGUCAUCAGGUGAGGUUGUCUUCCUUGCCUUCCCGAUUGUAGCUUUUUACCAGCGACCACUGGUGUUCAUUCCAUAUUUUAUGAUUUCCUGUCAACAACAACAAUAAAAAGGUUUCUGUAUGAUUAUUGAAUAUUUUUCUAGAGAGCUUGCUCUGGGACACAUGACUACUUCAGUUUCACAGCAAAGACAAAAUUCACAAGUAGUGUCACCUACUUUGAAAGAUAUUUUAGGGCCUAAGCUGCCACUGAGUUGCUCUUUGUAGCUAACCUAAGUCCCUCAUGCUAUACUUUGUCACUUUCUGAAAUUAAACAGCCAUUUUUCUGUGGGCGUUCUUAGGACUCUGCCUCCCUCUGCUGUGGCAGGUCCUGCACUUUGUUUAAGAUUCAAGGUUACGCUCAGGAGACAUGUUGGAUUUGCACCAGGCUGGAAGGCACACCAGAGACCAAGGAGCUUCAUGGCUUCAUUUGACGGUCACGGACACUUAGGGCCAGCCAGCGAAAGUGACUUCUUCAAAGUUGCAUCACGGUUCCUUGGCAGAGCUGGAACUCCAAUGAUCACAGGUACUCAAGCGACAAAGGCAAUGCCUUCGCAAAAGGGAACUUCGCCACUCACGAAGAAUACCUGUGUGUCCAGAUCAGGUACCCUCCUGAUGUCAAAACCACUCCUGAUUCUCAGCAUGCCAAAAGUUGAAUUUAGGGGAAAUCCUUCUCAGAAUUUUCUCCACCACCUUCUUGCCCACCUGAAACUCCUGCUCAUCCAACAAGAAGAUGGGAACACUUCUCCACAGUAUCCACUGAACCUCCUACUCCGGGCAAAAAUAAGUACCCUAUGGGGCCAGCCCAGGGGCAUAGCAGCUAAGUUCGAGCACACCAUUUCGGCAGCCCCAGGGUUCACCAGUUUGGAUCCCAGGCAUGGAUCUACGCACCGCUUCUCAAGCCAUGCUGUGGCAGGCGUCUCACAUAUAAAGUAGAGGAAGGUGGGCAUGGAUGUUAGCUCAGGGCCAGUCUUCCUCAUCAAAAAGAGGAGGAUUGGCAGCAGAUGUUAGCUCAGGGCUAAUCUUCCACAAAAAAAAGAAAAAUAAAAAUAAGUACCUGUAAGCCUUUCCUUUCUCUAUUUCACAUUUACCCAGGAUUCAUUUUCAAAAACAAAAUCUCAGAAAACAUUCUUCCCACUCUCCCCUUAACUUUUACUCUUUUAACAUAACUUUGGGGUUGUUUGAAGAUUGUUUUAAAUGUCUAUGUGAAUUGCCUGCAUGUUUAUUAAUAACUGUAUUCUCUGUUUGCUAAUACAGGUACACAUUUUACUAGUUUUCUUGCAUGAAAACAUCAGAAAAUGGCAUUGCCCUGGAAAUCCCGUGCCUUGACCACGUUCCCAUUUUAAUCCCGACGUCUUACAUUCUCUUUUCUGUAGCUGGAGGACCAGAGUGAGGGCCUCGUGGGGUCCGGGCUCUCAGUAUUUUGUGGGGGAGAAAGGACAACGGGGCAGCCUGUCCGUAGAUAUCACCAAAGACCUAAGCACAGUUUUUGAGGAGGAACAAAGACACCGUCCAAUCUGUUUGCACACACACACCUAGGGCAUUCAUAUGGCAGCCCUUAUGCACUGAGAGGAGAACUGAGACACGGAACCUGUAGUAGGUAGAGGACAAGGAGAGGGAGAAGGAAUAAAUCCAACUGCUCCUGCACACUUCCCCAGACGAGACCCGGGACGAGACGGGGUAAUGUCACCUCAGACCUAAACCAUUAAGCUACAUCGUGCCUCAAAGAAGCAGAAACUCAGACCAAGAUUCCUCCCUCUCUGCCCUCC
rnacentral:lncRNA from 1 species